rnacentral:rRNA from 1 species
GUCUACGGCCAUGCCAUCCUGAACAAUCCCGUCUGAUCUCGGAAGCUAAGCAGGGUCGAGCCUGGUUAGUACUUGGAUGAGAGACCCCCUAGGAAGAGCAGGUGCUAUAGGAG